GCUUACGGCCAUACCACCUUCGGCACGCCUGAUCUCGUCUGAUCUCGGAAGUUAAGCAGGGUCGGGCCUGGUUAGUA
rnacentral:rRNA from 10 species